CAAAUCCCAUAAAGUUGUUCUCAGUUCGGAUUGUAGUCUGCAACUCGACUACAUGAAGCUGGAAUCGCUAGUAAUCGUAGAUCAGCAUGCUACGGUGAAUACGUUCCCGGGUCUUGUACACACCGCCCCCCCACUUCCACGAGAGUCUGUAACACCCGAAGCCGGUGGAGUAACCAUUUAUGG
rnacentral:rRNA from 1 species